GAUGAACGCUGGCGGCGUGCCUAAUACAUGCAAGUCGAGCGAAUGAUGAGGAGCUUGCUCCUCUGAUUUAGCGGCGGACGGGUGAGUAACACGUGGGUAACCUGCCUGUAAGAUGGGGAUAACUCCGGGAAACCGGGGCUAAUACCGAAUAAUAAAAGAGGAAGCAUUUCUUCUUUUUGAAAGUUGGUUUCGGCUAACACUUACAGAUGGGCCCGCGGCGCAUUAGGUAGUUGGUGAGGUAACGGCUCACCAAGGCGACGAUGCGUAGCCGACCUGAGAGGGUGAUCGGCCACACUGGGACUGAGACACGGCCCAGACUCCUACGGGAGGCAGCAGUAGGGAAUCUUCGGCAAUGGGCGAAAGCCUGACCGAGCAACGCCGCGUGAGCGAGGAAGGCCUUCGGGUCGUAAAGCUCUGUCGUCAGGGAAGAACAAGUACGAGAGUAACUGCUCGUACCUUGACGGUACCUGACCAGAAAGCCACGGCUAACUACGUGCCAGCAGCCGCAGUAA
rnacentral:rRNA from 1 species